UAUGUUUGCACCCCUGAAGAGGUUCAACAGCAUUUUCAGUCGUGUGGUACUGUUAACAGAGUCACCAUUCUCACUGACAGAAACGGUCAGCCAAAGGGUUUUGCUUAUGUCGAAUUAUUGGAAGUUGAGGCAGUCCAAGAAGCCUUUCGGUUGCAUGAGUCUGAGCUUCAUGGUUGUCCAAUCAAGGUUGCCGCCAAAUGAACCAACGUUCCAGGGCUGAAGCAGUUCCGUCCUCCGUGACAUAAUCCCUACCCGAUGUAUCCAUAUAGCAGGCCUCACAUGCCAUCCUGAUGUCGGGGUUUGUGGACAAAGAAGCAGUUGCAGUUACCAGUGUGUCUCAGAAGGCAACUUUCUACAAUGGACCAAGCUCUACGGACUUCAUAAAUGUCCAUGAAAUUUUUCUUGAAUGUGAUCAUGAUUCAGUAAGCUUCCAGAAGAUAAUAUAGUGUUGUUUGAUCAAAGAUUUUGAUGCAUUACUUUUACUACCUUUGUUUAGAUCAUAUACCUUGGGAAGUCUUUUGAACCAACAAUAUAUGAUCUUUUGGGUGAUCAAGAGGUUUGUAAUCUGGACUUUUCUGAAAACUUUGUAAUAUCUUCUUUCUGCUAUGCUUCUUGGUUAUUUUGGAAUCUUUCUGCCACAAUUUUGCAAUGCAAGGUUGAAA